GACAGAGGGUGCAAACGUUGCUCGGAAUUACUGGGCGUAAAGCGCGUGUAGGCGGGAAGAUAAGUCGGGUGUGAAAUCCCUGGGCUCAACCUAGGAACUGCAUUCGAAACUGUCUUUCUGGAGUGAUGGAGAGGAAAGCGGAAUUCCCGGUGUAGAGGUAAAAUUCGUAGAUAUCGGGAGGAACACCAGUGGCGAAGGCGGCAUCCUGGACCGGCAUUGACGCUGAGGCGCGAAAGCCAGGGGAGCAAACGGG
rnacentral:rRNA from 1 species